rnacentral:lncRNA from 1 species
GCAAAUUAAAUGCUGUCCUUACUUGUGGUGCUGGUGGGUAUUGGUAAUUCAGUUCCAUUUGGUGGUAAAGCUCGCACAAACAGAAAGCUAACACAGAGCAGCAGGCAUGGACAGGGUUGUUCCAUCCUGGAUCGCCGAGGCUCCCGCCGCCUCUCGGCCCUCCCGCCGCCGCCUCCGCGCUCCGCUGGCGGCUGCCGGGCCCCGGGCGCGGGACCGCGGGACGCC